UUAUUGGAGAGUUUGAUCCUGGCUCAGGAUAAACGCUGGCGGCGUGCUUUAUGCAUGCAAGUCGCACGGUCUAAUUCGCAAGGAAAAGAUAGUGGCAAACGGGUGAGUAAUACGUAGGUAACCUGCCCCUAAGUGGGGGAUAACUUCGGGAAACUGAGGCUAAUACCGCAUGUGGUCCGUCACCGCCAGGUGAUGGACUAAAACCGCAAGGUGCUUGGGGAGGGGCCUGCGUCCGAUUAGCUAGUUGGUGGGGUAAUGGCCUACCAAGGCGAAGAUCGGUAGCUGGUCUGAGAGGAUAUCCAGCCACACGGGGACUGAGACACGGCCCCGACUCCUACGGGAGGCAGCAGCAAGGAAUAUUGUGCAAUGGGCGAAAGCCUGACACAGCGACGCCGCGUGGGGGAAGACGGCCUUCGGGUUGUAAACCCCUUUUCAUGGGGAAGAAUAAUGACGGUACCCGUGGAAUAAGUCACGGCUAACUACGUGCCAGCAGCCGCGGUAAUACGUAGGUGGCAAGCGUUAUCCGGAUUUACUGGGCGUAAAGAGGGUGUAGGUGGUUCUAUAAGUCGGAUGUAAAAUCUCUCGGCUUAACUGAGAGGGACCAUCCGAUACUGCAAGACUUGAGUGCAGCAGAGGAAAGCGGAAUUCCCGGUGUAGUGGUGAAAUGCGUAGAUAUCGGGAGGAACACCAGUGGCGAAGGCGGCUUUCUGGGCUGUUACUGACACUGUGGCCCGUAAGCGUGGGGAGCAAACAGGAUCAGAUACCCUGGUAGUCCACGCUGUAAACGAUGGGUACUAGGUAUGGGGAGUAUAG
rnacentral:rRNA from 1 species